UACGGGGGGGGCAAGCGUUGUUCGGAAUUACUGGGCGUAAAGGGCUCGUAGGUGGCCAACUAAGUCAGACGUGAAAUCCCUCGGCUUAACCGGGGAACUGCGUCUGAUACUGGAUGGCUUGAGUUCGGGAGAGGGAUGCGGAAUUCCAGGUGUAGCGGUGAAAUGCGUAGAUAUCUGGAGGAACACCGGUGGCGAAGGCAGCAUCCUGGACCGACACUGACGCUGAGGAGCGAAAGCCAGGGGAGCAAACGGG
rnacentral:rRNA from 1 species